GGGGCUAUGGUGUAGCUUGGCCUAGCAUUGGAGCAUGGGGUGCUUCAGACCUGGGUUCAAAUCCCAGUAGCCCCA
rnacentral:tRNA from 1 species